rnacentral:ncRNA from 2 species
UAUAUACGGAUAGCAUUACCUCAUAUAUCCUUGAUGAUAUGGAUCAAGAGUCUCUACCUGGCAACCGAAAAUUGCUGGACUAUGGGGAAAACUAAUGAAUAU